rnacentral:lncRNA from 1 species
GGAAAAGCUGCUAUCAACCUGGGUUCCUGAAUAACCGCAUGAGGGAGAGCCCCGCACCAACCCGAGAUACCUGUCCUGGAAUUUCAUAAUCUCAAAAAAAGCUGGAAUUUACCCACGUAGCACAGAGUGCCAGACAUUCCAAAAACAUUGGGGGUAACUUUCAAAAACACAAAGAUCUCCAGAAUCAUUUACAGUGAGAACAAACUUGAAAGAAAUGGCAUGGCAGCUUAUAUCUAGCUCAAGCAUCUGUCAGUAAGUUUCAUGCUUCACUAACCCAUAAAAGAGGGAAAUAAAGGUCCUUUGAUUUUUCUACCUUCCA